UGACAGUCUGCCUGUGGUUCUAUUAUUCUAACCAUAGUAUGUAUCACCCCAGGCUUGGGUAGAACAUAAAUCUAUUAACUGGAAGUUGGACUCAUCUGUAUCCCAUUACCUUGGACUUUCAGCAAUGUCUUUGGGUGUUAAAAGGCUCUGCUGCCUUUGCUUUCACUACCGGCUUUGCAUGCGAGAUCUUCUCUCACUGUCAGUCCACAGUACUCAGCACUGGACACACUACUGAAUGAUCUACUCAGCCUCUCUUAGUUUCUUAGCUCAAAGAAGGAAAGGAGAAAAAAAAUGUCUUUUUGAUCUACUUGCUUCCAUGAGAAAUCACAGUGAGUGUAUCCUUUUACCUACAGCAGGAACCCACAGGACUGUCUUUCCCAUAACCAGAAGAAGGUCCCAUCAACUAUUUCUCGGCUGAAAGCACCUCCAGGCCUCUCCAAAGCUACCAGGGCAUUCCUCGCAAAAGACUUUAAUGGGACAGACCUGUGGGACAUCAGUCUUGGAGAUUCAGCGGAGAGGUGACAGUCACUAUGGGAGAGUAGUCCCCUGAGGGUAGUGUAUGUUCAGAGAACUCUGUAUGAGGUGAGGAUGGAGGCCUGCUUGGACAAAUCAGGCUGGGUUUCAGAGAUGUUGUGGACAUUCCUUACACCUUUUGGCAGGACAGGGCCAUUUCAUUCUUCAUUCACCCACUUCGGGGAGGAAAGGCUUUGAAAGGGGAAAGAGACUGCAGGAUCCGACAACUGCAGGCGCUGUGCCCCUGUGUGGUUUCGUUUGGGAGCAGAGCGGACCAAUCUAUUUUCUCCAAAUCACAAGCUUGGUUGCCAGCAGGAGAAAAAACAAGCUAAUUACUUAAAGUAAGUCUUAUAAAAAUAUGAAAGAUAGGCAGAUUGUACAAUCAGACAAAUAUAGCCUUU
rnacentral:lncRNA from 1 species